GGCCCUUCGGGGUACACGAGCGGCGAACGGGUGAGUAACACGUGGGUGACCUGCCCUCCACUCUGGGAUAAGCCUGGGAAACCGGGUCUAAUACCGGAUAGGACUCCUGGAUGCAUGUCUAGGGGUGGAAAGUUUUUUCGGUGGGGGAUGGGCCCGCGGUCUAUCAGCUUGUUGGUGGGGUGAUGGCCUACCAAGGCGACGACGGAUAGCCGGCCUGAGAGGGUGAUCGGCCACACUGGGACUGAGACACGGCCCAGACUCCUACGGGAGGCAGCAGUGGGGAAUCUUGCGCAAUGGGCGGAAGCCUGACGCAGCAACGCCGCGUGGGGGAUGACGGCCUUCGGGUUGUAAACCUCUUUCGCGAUCGACGAAGGUCCACUUUUUGGUGGGCUGACGGUAGGUCGAGAAGAAGCACCGGCCAACUACGUGCCAGCAGCCGCGGUAAUACGUAGGGUGCGAGCGUUGUCCGGAAUUAUUGGGCGUAAAGAGCUCGUAGGCGGUGUGUCGCGUCGGCCGUGAAAACCUGGGGCUCAACUCUGGGCGUGCGGUCGAUACGGGCAUCACUUGAGUUCGGCAGGGGAGACUGGAAUUCCUGGUGUAGCGGUGAAAUGCGCAGAUAUCAGGAGGAACACCGGUGGCGAAGGCGGGUCUCUGGGCCGAUACUGACGCUGAGGAGCGAAAGCAUGGGUAGCGAACAGGAUUAGAUACCCUGGUAGUCCAUGCCGUAAACGUUGGGCGCUAGGUGUGGGGUCCAUUCCACGGGUUCCG
rnacentral:rRNA from 2 species